rnacentral:snRNA from 1 species
UCUGUGCUCUCUCUGGCUGUGACAUCUGUCACCCCAUUGAUCGCCAGGGUUGAUUCGGCUGAUCUGGCUGGCUAGUGUCCCCUUCCUCCCUCACCGCUCUGUGUGCCUCCUUCCCGAAGCUGUGGGCUCCGUCGAAGAGGAUGAGAGGGGAGAGGACCAUUCCUCGGUCAAGGGUAUACGAGGAGCUUCGCUCCCCUGCUAGAACCUCCCAACAAGCUCACUUACUCUCUCAAAUAAAUAAAAUCUUAAAAAAAAAAUAAAGAAUUUUUAUGUAACAGUUCACAGUUGGUUAGUACUUCGUCUUCACUGG